AAAAUGGGGGCCCUAGAGUCUUGUGCUACUAGACAAAGGGCUGUGCAAUAAGCUAUGAUUUUUUUUCUCUUUCCUCUCUUAGAGUCUAUUCUUUUACUAUCAAGCCUAAAUUCAUAUGGGGUAUGCCUGACCUUAUAUAUGGCUAUCCUCUGUAAAGCUGCUCAGGCUUCUGAAUACACAUCUACAAAUAACACAGUCUGGGCCAGCGGUCAAAAACUGUCCAUAUAAAGUUCUGGUGUACAGCCUGCUCACCUAGCCUAGGAAUUACACAAUAGUAUGGAGAUUCCUGUUGAAAGAGACAAGAAGUUAAUCUACUAUGCAAGAUCAAAAUGGCAAGAAAAUGUCAACAGCAGAACAGUUGAAUUUCAUAGUUGAGUGGCAUCAUUUUACACUAAUUUCUGAAUUUCUGGUUACUGGCUCAGCUGUCACAGUAACGUGAUCAAAAUGACAGUUCUGCUUCUUUUUCAGUCUCAGGAGCUGUUGUUCAGAUUACAAGUUCUUUAGCUGCUGCUUCCGUAAAGAUGGACAUUUGAAAUUAAUUUUUGAUUUUUAACAUUCUUAAAUCUUCUGCCAAUAAAUAAUGCAGUCUCAAAAUAGCUGAGAUAUUUGAUUGAUAACAAUAGGGAUCUUUUAAACAUAACUAUUUGGUAACUAGGGGUGAGAGUCUGUGGAUAUGGAGACUGCUGCAGAAUUCCAGCUGCACCCUUUAUUAAACAGAACUUCACUUUCCUUGUUCAGAAAAGUUAAAAAAUCAGGGUGUUUUGUAACUGGUAUUUCAUUCCAUCCUUCUUGUAGGUUGUCAUUGCAAUGGAGGUCAAAUCCAGGCCAGCCUUAGGACCUAAAAUCUCAGUGUAAUCACUUCAGGUGGAAAAAUGGGUAUAAGGCCUACCUCUAUUCUAGAGAACCACCAAACAUGAAAGAGGAGUUUUUCCUUUGUUUUUGUUUUGUUUUCUUUUUCUUUUUUUUUUGAUUUUUGCAAAACCCAAAAUGCAGCAUGAAACCAUAUACUUUGGAAACAAAACAGACCUAGGAAAAUGGUAACAAGCCAACUCAGACCUUUACAGAAAUGUCCCCACCAGAGUGGAGAAAAUAACACAGCUAUACUGAAACACAGAGCCUAGAAGUCUGAAGUUUUAGUAGGAUACAAACUAGGGAACAUGAACUGGAAGCAGUGUCAAAUUCAGGAAACAGAAACGAAUAAAAUGGCACAAUUUUUGUAUUAGCUCUGGUGUAAACCUGGAAUUACUCAGUGAAGGCCCUGGUAUUAAAGACACCUUAUGACUUUCAUUUGGAUCUCAGGAUGAUGCACCUCAAAGCUACCUCUUUGCAUACCAGAGUAGCACCCUAACAUGAAUACAAGUAAGGAGGGCACAGGCUAGAAACACUUCAGUAAGGUAAAUGACAGCUGUAGCCUUGGUUGGCCUUCCAUAUAUUUAUGGUGUAAACUUUGUUUGCUGAGCACUAAAGCUUCACACCCAUUGCAGCAAAAGGAGGUAGAAGAGGACUAUGCUGCUAAAGAGCCACUAAUUGGAUCUGGACAACACACAAAGAAGCUUUUAGGCAUGGAUAUGGGAUCUUUGGAGGUGGAUCUGAGCAAGUGGAGGACGGAGACAAAGUCCCUGCAGUGCUCUGAAUUGUCAACAUGACUCCCAGCAAUGGGGAUAAAAGCAUCAGGAAAUUUCUGGGAAAGUGAUUUUCAGUGGUUGCUUCUGGAUCCAGCUGUGAUUUGUUUCACCAGAACCUGUUUUUGUUGUGGGAAGUCAUCUCCUAUACAUCUGCCUGUAUCUGAGAGAAAACAAUAACAUUGCAAUAAACCUGGAAAAGGAUUAAUCUC